rnacentral:rRNA from 1 species
CGUGAAAUUGUUGAAAGGGAAGCGUUUAUGACCAGACUUGGGCUUGGUUAAUCAUCUGGGGUUCUCCCCAGUGCACUUUUCCAGUUCAGGCCAGCAUCAGUUUUCCCCGGGGGAUAAAGGCGGCGGGAAUGUGGCUCUCUUCGGGGAGUGUUAUAGCCCGCCGUGUAAUACCCUGGGGGGGACUGAGGUUCGCGCAUCUGCAAGGAUGCUGGCGUAAUGGUCAUCAACGACCCGUCUUGAAACACGG